UACGUAGGGUGCGAGCGUUGUCCGGAAUUAUUGGGCGUAAAGAGCUCGUAGGCGGUGUGUCGCGUCGGCCGUGAAAACCUGCAGCUCAACUGUGGGCUUGCGGUCGAUACGGGCAUCACUGGAGUUCGGCAGGGAGACUGGAAUUCCUGGUGUAGCGGUGAAAAUGCGCAGAUAUCAGGAGGAACACCGGUGGCGAAGGCGGGGUCUCCUGGGCCGAUACUGAGCUGAGGAGCGAAAGCCGUGGGGGAGCAAACAGGAAUUAGAUACCCG
rnacentral:rRNA from 1 species